rnacentral:rRNA from 1 species
CACGUAGGGUGCGAGCGUUGUCCGGAAUUAUUGGGCGUAAAGAGCUCGUAGGCGGUGUGUCGCGUCGGCCGUGAAAACCUGCAGCUUAACUGUGGGCGUGCGGUCGAUACGGGCAUCACUGGAGUUCGGCAGGGGAGACUGGAAUUCCUGGUGUAGCGGUGAAAUGCGCAGAUAUCAGGAGGAACACCAGUGGCGAAGGCGGUGCUCUGGGCCGGAACUGACGCUGAGGAGCGAAAGCGUGGGGAGCAAACAGG